UGAAUGUACUGGAAGAAUAAGGAUCGGCUAACUCCGUGCCAGCAGCCGCGGUAAUACGGAGGAUCCGAGCGUUAUCCGGAUUUAUUGGGUUUAAAGGGUGCGUAGGCGGCCUGUUAAGUCAGGGGUGAAAUACGGUGGCUCAACCAUCGCAGUGCCUUUGAUACUGACGGGCUUGAAUCCAUUUGAAGUGGGCGGAAUAAGACAAGUAGCGGUGAAAUGCAUAGAUAUGUCUUAGAACUCCGAUUGCGAAGGCAGCUCACUAAGCUGGUAUUGACGCUGAUGCACGAAAGCGUGGGGAUCGAACAGGAUUAGAUACCCUGGUAGUCCACGCCCUAAACGAUGAUAACUCGAUGUUGGCGAUAGACAGCCAGCGUCCCAGCGAAAGCGUUAAGUUAUCCACCUGGGGAGUACGCCCGCAAGGGUGAAACUCAAAGGAAUUGACGGGGGCCCGCACAAGCGGAGGAGCAUGUGGUUUAAUUCGAUGAUACGCGAGGAACCUUACCCGGGCUUGAAAGUUAGUGAAGGAUGCAGAGACGCAUCCGUCCUUCGGGACACGAAACUAGGUGCUGCAUGGCUGUCGUCAGCUCGUGCCGUGAGGUGUUGGGUUAAGUCCCGCAACGAGCGCAACCCCUAUGUUUAGUUGCCAGCAUUUAAGGUGGGGACUCUAAACAGACUGCCUGCGCAAGCAGAGAGGAAGGUGGGGACGACGUCAAGUCAUCAUGGCCCUUACGUCCGGGGCUACACACGUGCUACAAUGGAUGGUACAGCGGGCAGCUACAUAGCAAUAUGAUGCUAAUCUCUAAAAGCCAUUCACAGUUCGGAUUGGGGUCUGCAACUCGACCCCAUGAAGUUGGAUUCGCUAGUAAUCGCGUAUCAGCAAUGACGCGGUGAAUACGUUCCCGGGCCUUGUACACACCGCCCGUCAAGCCAUGAAAGUUGGGGGUACCUAAAGCAUGUUACCGCAAGGAG
rnacentral:rRNA from 1 species